GAUGGUGGGAGUAGACAUUGGAGC
rnacentral:piRNA from 1 species